rnacentral:rRNA from 1 species
UACGUAGGGUGCGAGCGUUAAUCGGAAUUACUGGGCGUAAAGCGUGCGCAGGCGGUUGGCAAAGUCAGCUGUGAAAGCCCCGGGCUUAACCUGGGAAUGGCGGUUGAAACUAGUCGACUCGAAUCUGGCAGAGGGGGGUGGAAUUCCACGUGUAGCAGUGAAAUGCGCAGAUAUCAGGAAGAACACCCGUGGCGAAGGCGGCUCUCUGGGACGGUACUGACGCUGAGACGCGAAAGCGUGGGGAGCGAACAGG